rnacentral:rRNA from 1 species
UGGGGAAUUUUGGACAAUGGGCGCAAGCCUGAUCCAGCAAUGCCGCGUGCAGGAUGAAGGCCUUCGGGUUGUAAACUGCUUUUGUACGGAACGAAAAGGCUCUGGCUAAUACCUGGGGCACAUGACGGUACCGUAAGAAUAAGCACCGGCUAACUACGUGCCAGCAGCCGCGGUAAUACGUAGGGUGCGAGCGUUAAUCGGAAUUACUGGGCGUAAAGCGUGCGCAGGCGGUUUUGUAAGACAGAGGUGAAAUCCCCGGGCUCAACCUGGGAACUGCCUUUGUGACUGCAAGGCUGGAGUGCGGCAGAGGGGGAUGGAAUUCCGCGUGUAGCAGUGAAAUGCGUAGAUAUGCGGAGGAACACCGAUGGCGAAGGCAAUCCCCUGGCUGCACUGACGCUCAUGCACGAAAGCGUGGGGAGCAAACAGGAUUAGAUACCCUGGUAGUCCACGCCCUAAACGAUGUCAACU